GGGGAUUUAGCUCAGUGGUAGAGCGCUUGCCUAGCAAGCACAAGGCCCUGGGUUCCAUCCUCAGCUCCG
rfam:Rattus norvegicus chromosome 20, whole genome shotgun sequence.